AUGAUGAUUCUAGAAUAUUUAAAAUGGUUAGAACCUGAUUCCAAUGAAGAUACAUUCUAGGGCGGUCUGAGAUA